CCUACGGGUGGCUGCCGUGGGGAAUAUUGCGCAAUGGGCGAAAGCCUGACGCAGCGACGCCGCGUGCGGGAUGAAGGUCUUCGGAUCGUAAACCUCUGUCAGCAGGGAAGAACGGUCACUGUGCUAAUCAGCAGUGAAUUGACGGUACCUGCAACGGAAGCACCGGCUCACUCCGUGCCAGCAGCCGCGGUAAUACGGAGGGUGCGAGCGUUAAUCGGUAUUACUUGGCGUAAAGCGCUCGUAGGCGGUAUGUCAAGUCAAGGGUGAAAUCCCCGCGCUCAACGGUGGAACUGCCUUUGCUACUGGCAAACUGGAGUGUGUGGGAGGAUAGUGGAAUUCCAGGUGUAGGAGGGAAAUCCGUAGAUAUCUGGAGGAACAUCAGUGGCGAAGGCGACUAUCUGGCACAUAACUGACGCUGAGGAGCGAAAGCGUGGGUAGCAAACAGGAUUAGAUACCCCUGUAGUC
rnacentral:rRNA from 1 species